rnacentral:rRNA from 1 species
GACAGAGGGGGCAAGCGUUGCUCGGAAUCAUUGGGCGUAAAGGGUGCGUAGGCGGCGCGGUAAGUCGGGUGUGAAAUCUCGGAGCUUAACUCCGAAACUGCAUUCGAUACUGCCGUGCUUGAGGACUGGAGAGGAGACUGGAAUUUACGGUGUAGCGGUGAAAUGCGUAGAUAUCGUAAGGAAGACCAGUGGCGAAGGCGGGUCUCUGGACAGUUCCUGACACUGAGACACGAAGGCCAGGGGAGCAAACGGG